ACUUUCAACAACGGAUCUCUUGGUUCUGGCAUCGAUGAAGAACGCAGCGAAAUGCGAUAAGUAAUGUGAAUUGCAGAAUUCAGUGAAUCAUCGAAUCUUUGAACGCACAUUGCGCCCCUUGGUAUUCCAUGGGGCAUGCCUGUUCGAGCGUCAUUUGUACCUUCAAGCAUU
rnacentral:rRNA from 1 species